CCCAAGCCCAAUCCACACAAUCCAACCCGGGCCCAUUCCUUUUCUUCUUCAAACAAUCAACACUCCAAUCUCAGCCUUAAACACCAGCAGCAACAUCACGCGAAUACACCAAACCGAUUCCCCUUUUUCAUGACCCGCACCUGUUAACCCGUAACUCGGCAUCAGAACUCGCCGUCCCAAGCUCCAACCCAUCUGUUUCUUCUUCGUCGUGUGCCUUUCCACGCGAAUUCGUACGAGGAAAAUUUGAGAACCCUCUAGAAACAUGCUUAGGUAUCUCCCUUUAAUGGAUAUCUCCAUGAAUCGUGGAUUACUUGUACAAAUUCAUACGUAUUUGGCAAAUUUUUGUUGGUUCUUGGAGAAAGGAUCCAUUUUCCCCCCAAUUUCUAUUGUCUUUUCUUGGAGAAUCUGUGGAGGAUAAAAGAAAAGGAGUACAUUUGUUGGUGAAACCCUAAGCAGGAGGGAAAAAAUUCGAAUUUCAAAUCCAAAGAUAUCCUCUCUUUCAAGUCCCCAAAAAACCCCCAAUUCGGGUUCUAUAUAAAGACCCUUGGGGUCACUAUUUCGAAGGGUAUUUUCUCUUCUUUCAGGGAAUUUUUGGUUCGAAAGAGGGGGAAAAGAAGAAAUCUGGGGUACGGAAAAAUUUUGGUUGGGAGAAAAGAGGAGAGGCAGAAAAUUCUGAAAGCAAAAUAGUUUAUUUUUAGUGAAAAUUUACUCUUUUGUUCUUUUUUCUGAAGUUGGUCGAUUGAUCGGAAGCCCUUAAGUUGAUAACGCGGAUUUCCAGUGGUGGCGGAUUCCGACAACUAACUCGUUCUCCCCUUUUGCUGCCCUGAGAGAGGUAAAUAUCCUCAUUCCUCAUUUAAUUUUAUCGGCAUGUUUGUUCUUCAUCUUUUUUCUCUGUAGCGAUGAUUAUUUGGUUGAAUGAUGAACAUGAGGUCUAUUGUCGAAGCAAUGGUCUUUGUUUGAAUGAUGAACAUGAAGUUUGUUGUGGGGGCUGUGUAGUCUUCAUUGAACGAUAAAAGUGAAGGUCGGUUUGGAUGGUUGGCUGUAGAGGCUGUUGUAUGAUAAUAAUAGUAGUGAUGUUGUGUGUUCGUUGUAGAGGCCUUAAAGGCCAUAGUUUUUUUUUCUUUAGCAAAGAAGAACAUUCAGUUGUGUUAUUACGCUAGGCUAUUUCUUAUUUGAAUCUUAUGAUAUGUAGUUUCUGUCAUUAUUAUCCCGAUUUUAGAGCUCGUCAUCUAAUUUUGACAUUAUCAAGAAGUUUGCGAUCUGGAUCUUCAUCUUGUGUGCUGUCUUUACCUUUUUUCAUGGUCAAAAUUCAUGUCUUGAUUCGUGUUUAACACUUCUGCUUGACGUUUUGUCUUGUUUGGAGUGGAUAUAUAAUGUUUCUUGUCUAUUGUUAGUGUUGAGACACUGUCGUAACUAUUGAGCAGAUAGCGUCAUCGAUAGGACUACCUCUUGAGGUCCUUUGGAUUCUCAAAUGCCAAAAGGAUGAUGAGAAAACGUCCAACAGUAAAAUUAGAAAAAUCCCAUGAUUCUCCGAUGACCAUGUGACUGUCAAAAACUCAUUCUUGUGUUUGUCAGGAAGGAGAGAAGGAUAGAAAUACUAUGCCCCACCGCUUUGUUUUUAGCCUAUUGAUUGUACUCUUUCUGUUGAAGCUUUUGAAGUGUAAUUGUAUGUUAAAGAAUGCUGAAUCUGGGAACAAAUUUAAUCUCUUGUUAUACGUUUAAUGUCAAAAAUCGAUGAAGUUUAUACCCUCUUUUUCUUUGAGCAUGAUUCGUAUCACUUCCUACCUAGGUAAUGGUUUCGCGGUCUAAAACUUUUAAAGUUUUUGCAAGAUCAUGUUUUACGGAAUACUAGUGAUCGCCUUCAUCUAUAAGGACUAUUAUAGACCGACGAUCCAGACUUUCUGUGGCAUGGUGUUCGCAUUAGUAUUAAGCUUGUUGCUCCGAUCCGCAAAGAAUUUCGCUAAAAAUGUUCCUGUUGUUUUGUCCUCAUCACUAUCUUUAGCUAGUUUGGGAUUUAUUUUUUUUGGAUUAAAACUGUUUGGUUAAGCUGUAUUAUGAAAGAAUUAAUGACCAGAUUUAAGGUUCUUUCACUAGUGUUAUGAAAGAAUUAUUGUCCAGGUUUCUUUGGAUCAAAACUGCUUAAAUUACAUCAACUUGUGUUUCUUUAUGUUUAGGUAAUUGCUAUAUUAGAGAUACUGUUUCCUCCUUAUUUUAGUCAUCAAAGAUGUCUUUAUUUGUGUUAGUUUUAUUUACGAAAUUUUGGCCUAGAUGUGACAAUGAAUGCUAAAUUUUUCUCAUGUCUUCUGUCAACCUAUAGGACAACCUUGAGCAUGAAAAUAAUCUUUUUAAUUGCUAUUUGCAGCUUACGAUGAUGUAUGAUUAGUUAUACCAAUUCCAAACGGUCUAGUGCAGAGUCUUAAUCCUUUUCCCUUUAUUUUUGGAUGCAUGUGAAUGUGUUACGUCUGAGUUCACCAUGAACUCUCAAUUGCAUUUUACUCAUCGAUUCAAUCCCUAGCGGGAGACCAAAUAUCGACCUCGUGGCAUAUCUAAACCAAGGAGUCGAAAGAAGAAGAAAUGGGUUAAAGUCCACAUUUGAAGCGGCCAAGAGACUUGAAAGUCUCGGUUUCCAUUUCAUUCAUUUAUUUAGUCAUUUAUUAUUGUUGUAUUUAUUUAUUUAGUUAUUUAUUAUUUAUUUAUUUAUUUAUUUAUUUAUUUUUAUUCAUUCAUUUGGGCCUCCAAGCCAAAGUUGUAAAUUUAAUACAGGUGGAGCGAGACUCGAGCCAACGACUCAAAAACUAGAUUAGGACAGGUGAAAUGGGUCGAAGGCCCAAUUAGACUAGGACGGGUUUGUUGGUUUGGGCCAAUGGCCUAAAUCCCUUACUUUCUCCCUUUCCCCCUGUUCUUUAUGUUUGUUUUUCUUAUGUGCUUUGCGAACCUAGUUAAAUCCUUAGUUAAGUCGGUAAAAAACUGGUUUUGCAUAAACACCAAAAUAUUUUUAAAAUCGCUUUCUUUCCAAAAAAUCAAUCACUUUUUGACAAAAUUAAUCUUUUUGAAGUUAAUCAAAAGACGAUUUUCAAACAGUCCAGAUAACCACAAGUUAGCGGACGUUUUAGGUGUCUAACACCUUCCUAAAAUGUUAAUAGGAACCACUUACUUAGAAUUUCUACCUUAAACGAUUUUCCUGUUUUGGAUCGUUCAAAGUAUUUUAUAAAGGUUUCUUAAUUCCUUUUCAAAAUUAAGUGGCGACUCUCAAAAGUCAAAAAAAAUUCGCAAAACAGAAAUGGCGACUUUGCUGGGGAGUUUUAACUAGGUUUUAACCAAAUGUUUGAUUUCGUCUUUUGAUUAACUAUUUAUAUGUUUCGAUUCUCUAAAGUUUAACUAUCGCAUCUCAUGGCAUAUUCCUGCAUUAUUUAAACUGUUUUGGUGUUUUGUGGAUGUCCCAGCCCCUAUUGUUCAAUUUCAAUAAUGUGUUGGAAAUAUGAACAAAUUAUUAGCAACUGAUUCAUCUAAUGGUUGUUCAUAUUUUCAAACUCAAGUUGUCCGCUUGAGAACCAGUGGUCAAAUCCAAUCUAGACACCUAGGAUAGAACGAAACCAAAAUCCUAUUUUAGGCAUGAGCCUAGGAUGAAUCAAUACCCGAGCGAUGUAUUGGGCCCAUUAGAAAACUUGUCCUACGUCUACUGACUCCGAAUCAAUUAUAGACUAACCAUAUUUAUGUGUUGAAGAAAAUAUAUGCUUGUCUAAUUCAAUCCAUUAUUCUUUAGGGGUCAGGAAAAAGCUUGAUUUGCUUACCUUCGUAAGAAGAAUUGAAGCAAGCUAAGCAAGAAAUUGAUCAAUUUGGGAGGUUGCAUCUAAGGCACAAUUUGAACGUCAACGGAUGUCACCAAUAUAAGAAAUGGACGAAGCUAAGAAGGCGAAGGCUAAUAGAAAAAGAACCCAGGAGUUAGUAUUUUCUAUCCCCUGUGUGGGAACGUGUCUUUUUUCAUGUUAUUUCCCUUUCCCUAAAGAUUGUAUCCCUCUUUUGUAGGCAUUUAUGCCCUUUUAAUGUCUAUAAAAGUUGGGGGAUAAUGGAUUGACCUUAAGCAAGCAUAUAUUUUUCUUCAUAAAUCGUUAGGCCCAAAACCUUGGCUCAAAAGGGUUACCCCAUUUAGGAUACGCAUUAUUAUAAUGUUCUUAUGUGAUAUAAUUGUGUUAUGUAUUUAUGUGCGUUUGUUUGGAUCAAAGACAAGUUUAUCAGCUAUGCUCCUAUGGAUGGAUUUGGCUAUGACACAAACAACUCUACGUGGCUAUUUCUUGUCAAGUAUUUUGCAUUGCUUAUCACAUGUUGAAACUAACACAUUUGCCUUUGAGUUGUUUAACUUUACAGAUAAUAGAAAACUACUCCGUGUUGAUAUAAGCUGGCAGAACAUCCUUACUUCACCAGAUCAAAAGUGCACAAAAUCCUAUCCUUUAACCAUCAUUCAAUAAUGACUAGAAAUCAUGAAGAAAACACAUAAACCAUCAGGGACAAUGUAAUAGCGGAACAGAGUAAGAUAAUUGCGAAAUUCGUAAGAAAGCUAGAAAUGCUUUAGGAGGAAAUAAAUCAUACUCGAGAUUUGGUUAACCUGGCCAUCACUGUCAAUGCUCCCGCUCCAGGAGGACACAGGACUCCACUCCAAAUCCCUCCCCUCAGUACGCCUAUUCUCGGGGAUCAGCCAAAUAACAUAUCGUCCGUCUCUGCCCCUCCACCUGUCCAAAAUACCAAUCAUAAAAAUAACCCAGAUGUUUACCAUCCACAAAAUCCAGCCCUCGCCCCACAUAAUUCUUCUCCGAAUCUACAAAAUUCAUUCCCAAAUCCCCAGAACCCAUUGGUAAAUCCACAAAAUCCAUCCCUAGAUCUACCAAAUCUGCCAAAUCCAUCUCCGAACCCACAAACUUCAUUUAUGAAUCCACAGAAUCCCUCCCAGAUCCAACCAAUCUACUCUCAAAUUCCACAAAACUUUUUCAGUUUUCGAAACGUUCUCCCCACCCACCAACCAACUUUCUUUCAUCCACAAAAUCAAGCCGUCUUUCCAAAUAUUUAUCAUGUCAUCAUAGCCCCUGACAUCUAUAAUUCUCUUCCUAAUCCCGAGGUGGACCAUUAUGAGUAAAAGGAGAAAGAGUGGAGGACCGAGAAUGAAAUAAAAUUGCUAGCUAUGAAUGAAGAGAUCAUGAGAAUCAAGGAAUCUCAUGGAGCGGAGAAUAAUAACGGGUUAGGUUAUGAUGAUUUAUGUGUUCACCUUGGAGUAGAUCUACCAGAAGGGUAUAAGGUCCCUAAAUUUGAAGUGUUCGAUAGCACCCGAAAUCCAAUGACCCAUUUGAGAAGGUAUUAUGAUCAAAUGGUGGGAGUAGGAAAAAAUGAGGCAUUAUUAACGAGCUUAUUCAUCUGAAGCUUAAAUGGCGAAGCCUUAGAUUGGUUCACGUCUCAAGAACUGAAAAAUGGACUAGUUGGAGGGCAUUGGCCAAAAGUUUCCUUAAUAGGUUUGCAUUCAACAUUGAAAUAGUCCCUGACCGAUAUUCAUUAGAUCAGAUCAAGAAGAGAAAUGAUGAGUGUUUUCGAGACUAUGCCUUCCGUUGGAGAAAAGAAGCUGCCAAAGUACAACCUCCCAUGUCUGAGGAAGAAAUGGUGUUUGUGUUCUCUCGCGCUCAGGAGGAAGAAUAUUAUACUAAGUUGGUAUCCGCAGUCCGAGCAACUUUUGCAAAUUUAGUAAAGAUUGGGGAAUCAUUAGAGAAAGGCAUCCGAACAUGAAAAAUUGCCAAAACCCCAACAUCAUCUGAAUCUUCUACAUUCUCAAAGAAGAAAAGAGAGGAUGUGACUGUGGUAUCUACUAAUUUUGUUAAUAAAUUGAAGAGGAAAUUCAAGCCUAGAAAUAUUCUUUCCUCACCAUCGUCACCAAAUUUUCAGCCUGUAUUCUACGCCCAUCCCCAAUAUCAAGCUCCAAUUUCAAAUAUUUUACCCCAUCGCCAAAUUUCGCAGCCAAAUUAUCAAUCUCAUAUUCAAGUUAUUUUUUUGAACAAUCAAAUAAAUGUCCAAGCGCCCCAAACUAUUUUCAAGUACCUCCUCCUACUAAUCAAAAUCAGUAUAACCACCCACGUGUAAGCCUUGAGAAGAAACCUCCCAUAAAAUUCACUCCAUUGGCUGAAAGUCAUACCCAUCUCUUCGAAAGAUUGAUGAAGGCCGAUUAUUUACAGCCUAUUCCACCAAAGACGACCAAUCUCAAUUCUCUAUUCUUUCAUGCCAAUCAAGUCUGUGCUUAUCAUUCAGGAGCUCCCGAGCAUAAUACUGAAGAUUACAUCAAUCUGAAACACAAGAUCCAUGACUUGAUUGACCAGAAUAUCAUCACUUUUCAGGAAUCGACACCAAAUAUUGAUAGUACCCCAUUGCCUAAUUACGAGGGAUCCACGGUUAGCAUGAUUGAAAUAGCAGGUGAAUGGGUAUCUAGCAAGACAAUUGCUAAUGUGGAUUCAUGAAACUCCAAAAAGACAGAAGGAGUGGAAAUGAUAGGGAAAGUUAUUGCUGCCUUUGCUGCCUUAAGUAAGAAUUAAGAAGGAAUUAUUGAGCCUAUUAUGGUCCCGGAAAGAGCAUUUAAGUAUGGAGUAGGAUACCAACCAAUAAAGGAGGAUGAGAUCGAAGAUAAUUCAAAGGAGAGUAUGUUUAGGCCCUUGCCUCUCUUGUACCAGUCAUUUCCCAUACAUGAGAUGUCAAAUGAAGGUGGUCUUGGGGAUAGGAUAGGAGAUCUGUUCGAAGGAUGCAAUGCUCUACCAGGUGAUUUCCCAAAGUCCGGUGGGGUGAAGAAGAUUGCAUCAGAGGAGGCCUUGUAAAACUGGACCUCUACUUCACUUAUAACCCAUCACCUAUCGUGGUAGAUGAAAAUGACAAUUCCUAAUAGUUUUUAAAAUUGGUGAUGAUCCGGAGGAGGCCCCGUGAUCCACCUUUUUAUGUCUCAAAUUUUUGUUUUGUGUUUUACAACUUUCAAAAAGGAAUGGGACCACAUUUCUGUGGGUCAUAAUUCAUAGUUUUUAUUUAUUUUCCAAAAGGCCUCCCUUUAUUUAAGAAGUUAUUUUUUAAAAUAUGAUCAUCUAGCAUGUUUUAUUUUGGUUGCAAUAAUUUAAAAACCUGCCAAUGUCAUGUCAUGUCAAGGGUUAGACCAACAAAGUGAAGGAAAUAAUGAUGAAUAGAAAAGGUGAUGAGGAGCAGUUAGUAGUAGAUACACAGGAAUGUGAAAAUCAAAAGAAGCCCAACCUGGAGGAGCCCUAAUCCUACCUGAUAUGGAUGGUCAAGAGUGGAACAAACCAAUUAAUUCUGAUGCGGUAAAGAGAUAUUGUGCUUGAAAGAUGUUAUAGUUUUUGUUUCUUGGCUUAUUUGUAAUCGCCUUUAUAAUAGUAUCAAUUUUAUGAUGUGUAAUUGCCUAGAACUCCUUCCCUUUGUGUACGAACUACGUUUGACCUGAAUUCACAAGAAUGAGAUAUAUAGGCAGCUUAUGUCGGCUUCGGUCAACCCCUUAGGAAAAUUUAUCCUUUCCUUUUAUGUAUGAACUACGUGAUGAACUAAAUUCUCAAGAAUGAGAUGCGUUGGCGGCCUAUGUCGGCUUCGGUCAACCCAUUAGGUUUUUUUAUAUAUCCUUAGCGUAGUCCUGAACUACGUUUGACCUGAUUCCUGCAUCAACGGGAUACGUAGGCGCCCCAAUGGCUCGGUCAUAUAACCCCAAGAAAUGGAAACUGGGAUAGAAUUUUCGAGAAGGAAUCUCGAAAAUUCACAAAAAAAGAUCAACAUACAACAAAGAGAAUGAAGAUCAGCAAAGACUUCAGAUCCACUCGAGAUGAUAUCAUCUCAGACUACUGUAAACUGGGGCAGAAAUUUUGAGGGAGGCUUCAAAAUUUCCACCAAAUUCUAGAAUAUAUUUCAAAUUCCCCAGCACCAGAGGUUAAAGCCAAGCUUUUGAAUCCACCAACUGCGAUAAAGUCUAGGUAAACUAAAUCUUUGGCUAUGACGAAACCAUUUAUAGAACUCUCCAACAAUGAUGAUGAGUUCUGCAACUCCUCCAUCGGAUAUAGUCAAAACUAAGAGGAAUGCGUUCGCUAAGCUAGUACAUGACAUGACUGACAAAGAUUUUCGAAAGCUUUUACAGAAAUUUUUGAAACUAUUUGCUAAAAAUAAGAAUACUUUUGAAAAAUCUUUACAAAAUCUUUUACUUAGUGAUUGCCUAGGCGUCUAUGGGAGCAGGGAGACAGGAGGUACCAACAUGGUGGAGUACCCAAAAGAUGACGUGGAGCAAACGGAGAAUCGAAGAAGGUCAACACGGAGUAGUUUCACUCAAACUAGUCAUUUUUCUGUGGAUACACGGACGAAUACACAAAAAUGAGAGUCUUUUUCAAAAAUUCCCAAGCAAAUUGGGAGACACACCAGAGCACUAAUUCUCAAGAAUGGUAUUUUUCGGUAGUCCUAAAAAUGGGUUUAACACCCAUUUAUUGAGGACCUGUUGAAUUGUCCAUCUCACUUCUUGAGAUCAUGAAGGACAAACAAAAGUGUCUUGUCCUCUUUACAAAUAUUGUAUUCAGAGUUUUUCUAAAUAAUAGUCUCUAGCAAAAGCGACUUUGUGUCUACUAAUCGUCUACCUUGAGUACAGGUACAUGUAGAAAGCAAGACGCAGACAAAGAAACUCAGGUGAAACUAUUUUCAAAUUUCCAAGAGGGCCAUUCACAUCAUCACCGAGAGGGCCAAUUCAUACCAUUGCCGAGAGGGCCACUUCAUAUCAUUGUCAAGAGGGCCACUUCAUAGCAUUGUCGAGAGGGCCAUUUCAUAUCGUUACCGAGAGGGCCAUUCAUAUCAUUUGCCGAGAGGGACAUUUUAUAUCUAUUGACACACUAGGUAUAAACUCUGGCAUCAAGGAUAUCAUUAGUAUUUUAUAUCUGUUGACACGUAAGACAUAAACGUUGGCGUCGAAGAUAUCAUCACAUUUCAUAUCUAUUUACACGCAAGACAUAAAUGCUGGCGUCGAGGAUAUCAUCCCAUUUCAUAUCUGUUGACACGCAAGACAUAAAUGCUAGCGUUGAGGAUAUCUCAUCAUUUUAUGUAUCAGCAUCUAAAUACAUCAAGAGCACAGGAUAUGAAGGGACACCUUUAAGUCGGUAUCUAAAGACGGAUGAUAUAUGAGAUUUCCUAGAAAUUGACAAUUUGAGGGUCAUCUAUAAGUCAUAUUAUUUGAAAUAGGAUAGUGUGCAAGAUCACCUAUGAGUUGAUAGCCUGUGGGUCAUCCAUAACCCACAACAAUAACCUAACCGGAUAGUGUGCAAGAUCGCCCCAAAAAUCGAUAGUCUAGAGGUUAUCCAUAAGUCGCAACUAAAUCCUUACCGGAGAAUAUGCGAGAUUAUCAAAUUGAUACGUCCAAGGGUUCUCUAUAAGCUGUGUCAUAUCCAAGAUCGAUUAUGUGUAGGAUUACCCAAGGACUAGCAAUUUAAGUGAUAUCUAUAAGUCAUAUUGUAUCCAAGGUCAGAUGAUGUGCAGGAACACCUAAAAGCUAGCGAUUGGAGGGAUAUCUGUAACCCAUCUCUUAUCCAAGGUCGGAUAAUGUGCAGGAUUACCUAAAAUCUAGCACAUCAAAGGAUAUCUGUAAGUUGCCUCGUAUCCAACAUCAAAUAAUGUGCAAGAUUAUCCAAAGAUUGAUAAUUUAAAGACAAUUUAUAAAUCGAUCAUCGGCUAUAUCCGGAGAGGUUAUCAUUCCACAUACAAUAAGUGAUAUAGGUAACCAAAAGGGUUGCCACAUUAGCACAAGAUUACACGGUUGUAGGGACCGUUCUACAUAAAGUAUCGUCGGUGUCCAAAAGGGCCACCCACUUUAAAGACAUAUUCAACUGACAAAUGGCAUGAUUAUACAACAACCAAGAGGGUUGUUGUGUUUGUUAUUGCCAGUUAUUUCAUUCCAAAUAGGUAUAUGAAGAGAUGAUUCUGCUUUUCAGGCCACAACUCACGUGGAGAUAUGGGAAAAGACUACAUACCUCUUUCGUGAAUUAUGUUUAGAACUAACACUUUUUGCUUGAAGCAUUGUUGAGAGCAUCCGAGAGGAUGAAAAUCUCAAGUCAAAACCACAGGUGCGGACGACUCCAAAAAAGACGCAGCACAACGUGGAACUCUUUCUUAGUAGCAAAAUGGGACAUAGUCUAAAGAGGGACGUCAAACUCUUUGAACGCGAGCUAAAGAAUGAUCGCCACCACCAUCCAACCACACCUCUGUUAGAAGGCAUGUGGGAAUUCUGGGAUAUUCUGGUUUCAGCUUCACCUUCAGGAUAUUCCUAAACUCAUAUCAAGGGUAAACUUCUCUUUCUUUUAAAUUUGAGUGAUAGGACACCUAGAGUUUUGGAAAUUAUAUCCAGGUAAGCUCCUUCCCAUGGGUGUGAAGGAUCCCAUAUUCAUGGUUAAGAGUUUACAAGCUUCUUUUCCAUAACUCGAUUAACCUGUCACUCAUCCUGAGCCAAAGAUCGUCUGAAAUAUAAGUCUAUCUUUUCUACCGAUUGAGUCAAACUACAAACAGUCUGAUUCCCUGAAAUUUUGGGGAUAUGUAGGCUGGUCUCUGUGUAGAAAACUCGACUAGAUUCCAACCUCCCCAAAUCCCUUUAUUCCCCAGCUUUUUGGUUUAAUCAAAAACUCUAAAAUCGUGAUAGUUGGUGAAUUUUCUUGAAAAUCAUGCUUAAAAUAAAGCUUUAUGAGCUACAAGUGGCCAGAAUUCUCAUGAAACCUGAGAUAUGUAGGAAACCUGAUACCAACGUUCGUCAAUAACUCCAUGAAACUCAUGCAAAAGUCAACUUCUUCCAUAUUCGAAUUUGUGGACGGACAAAGAUUAGGAACGUCAACCUUCCUUUCCCCAGGAUUACUUGCAUCCAUCCUACCCAAAGGGAGGGUGGCAGUUGUUGACACCUAAUUUUUGCCUGCCACAACCAAGUUUAAUUUCGAGCUUCUUCGAUUUUUAAUAAAAUCGAAAUAUUUAUUUUGUCUGAAUAGAAACUUUUCAAAAAAUAUUCAUCUGGGCAAGUUUGUUAUUUUAAGUAGCGAUUAUAUAUUGUCGUAGUCAAUUAUACGAAACUUUUAAUUUUGCUAUUUAAAUAUUUAUUUUACAAAAUAUCGGAUUUUAAUCUAGGCUAAUCUUGAAAAUAAAUUCAAAAGAUUGAAAUCUUGAUUUAAAUAUGUCUUUAUUUCUCAAAACAAUUUAUUUGGAUAAAUAUGUGUUUGAUUUUUUUAAAACUAAAAAGUUCGGAAUUAAACAAAUAUUUAAUUCGUAUCGAAUUUUGAUUUAAUGUAGCAAAAUUAUUAAAUAUAACCAUAAUUGAAAUCAAGUUAACCACAAUUGCAAUGUAAUUAAUCAAAUUGAUAUUCAUUAUGAUUAAUAUUUAAACAAAGUUCUCUAAUUUAAUUCGGCUACCUUUUAAAGACCCUUCCUAUUUCUAAUUUUCCAACAACAAAAAUAAUUUCGAGCCUAGCCCAGUCAACAACAAUCAGCCAAAAAUGGCCCAACACAAUAACCUCCCCAAGCCCAAUCCACACAAUCCAACCCGGGCCCAUUCCUUUUCUUCUUCAAACAACCAACACUCCAAUCUCAGCCUUAAACACCAGCAGCAACAUCACGCGAAUACACCAAACCGAUUCCCCUUUUUCAUGACUCACACCUAUUAACCCGUAACUCGGCAUCAGAACUCGCCGUCCCAAGCUCCAACCCAUUUGUUUCUUCUUCGUCGUGUGCCUUUCCACGCGAAUUCGUACGAGGAAAAUUUGAGAACCCUCUAGAAACAUGCUUAGGUAUCUCCCUCUAACGGAUAUCUCCGUGAAUCGUGGAUUACUUGUACGAAUUCGUACGUAUUUGGCAAAUUUUUAUUGGUUCUUGGCGAAAGGAUCUAUUUUUCCCCUAAUUUCUAUUGUCUUUUCUUGGAGAAUCUGUGGAGGAUAAAGGGAAAGGAGUACAUUUGUUGGUGAAACCCUAAGCGGGAGGGGAAAAAAUUUGAAUUUCAAAUCCAAAGAUAUCCUCUCUUUCAAGUCCCCAAAAGCCCCCUAAUUUGGGUUCUAUAUAAAGACCCUUGGGGUCACUAUUUUGAGGGGUAUUUUCUCUUAUUUCAGGGAAUUUUUGGUUCGAAAGAGGGGGAAAAAAAGAAAUCUGGGGUCCGAAAAAAUUUUGGAUGGGAGAAAAGAGGAGAGGCAGAAAAUUCUGAAAGCAAAAUAGUUUAUUUUUGGUGAAAAUUUUCUCUUUCGUUCUUCUUUCUGAAGUUGGUCGAUUAAUCGGAGGCCCUUAAGUUGAUAACGUGGAUUUCCAGUGGUGGCGGAUUCCGGAAACUAGCUCGUUCUCCCGUUUUGCUGCCCUGAGAGAGGUAAAUAUCCUCAUUCCUCAUUUAAUUUUAUCAGCAUGUUUCUUCUUCAUCUCUUUUCUCUGUAGCGAUGGUUAUUUGGUUGAAUGAUGAACAUGAGGUCUAUUGUCGAAGUUGUGUUGUUUGUUUGAAUAAUGAACAUGAAGUUUGUUGUGGGGGCUGUGUAGUCUUCAUUGAACGAUAAAAGUGAAGGUCGAUUUGGAUGGUUGGCUGUAGAGGCUGUUGUAUGAU
rnacentral:lncRNA from 1 species